AAAAUAUGGGUGGUUAAUAAAGAAAUAAAUUAGUAAAUUUUAUUUAGUGAUUAGGGAAAUGAGUUUUAUAUUUAUUAGAUUAAUAAAAUUUUUAAGUUUUAUAGUGUUAAGUGUUGGCGAGAUAGUGAAGUAGAAUUUGUUGGUGGGAGUUUAAGUGGUUUAAUUAUUUUGGUAAAAAAAAUUGGUAAUAAGUAGAAAAGAG
rnacentral:misc_RNA from 1 species